CAUCAGAUACCCGAUUCACCUGAUUCUCCUGACGCCCAGCAUGCUGAGGACUUUUUAGAGGCUUUAAUAGCAGAAGAACAGAUACCCGAUUCACCCGAUUCUCCAGGAGCCCAGCACGAUGAGGACUUUUUUGAGGCUUUAUUAGAAGAAGAAGAAGAACAGCAGUCAUCUGACCCUUGGGAAUUCCCAUCACGCGGUAGCUGCAGACGCAGAACUCCUCCUCCUUCGAGUUCUUCAGAUUCGGUUAGUGGAAUUUUUGUGUGUGUGUGUGUGUGUGUGUGUGUGUGUGUGUGUGUGUGUGUGUGUGUGUGUGUGUGUGUGUGUGUUCAGUGAUCUAGUUUCCGUAAUCUACAGAAUCACACAAUUUUACAGGCAGUCCACGUUGCACUGAUAGACGGACCCCCUCAGGAUGAACCUAUAGAUUUGACUAAUCCAU